UACGGAGGGAGCUAGCGUUGUUCGGAAUUACUGGGCGUAAAGCGCACGUAGGCGGCUAUUCAAGUCAGAGGUGAAAGCCCAGGGCUCAACCUUGGAACUGCCUUUGAAACUAGAUAGCUAGAAUCCUGGAGAGGCGAGUGGAAUUCCGAGUGUAGAGGUGAAAUUCGUAGAUAUCGGGAGGAACACCAGUGGCGAAGGCGGCGACCUGGGCCAAUAUUGACGCUGAGGUGCGGAAAAGCGUGGGGAGCAAACAGGG
rnacentral:rRNA from 1 species